rnacentral:lncRNA from 1 species
UAUGGGAUGCAUAUACUCCUCAAAAGUUUGAGGUACAUCAUACAAAAGGGAUAAAUUCAAUCUUAAAGAAGUAUGUAGCAAUUGGUAGUGGAGUUGUAUAUGCUUAUUCGUUCUUGUGUAACGCGUACGUAAUAGGCCUAUCAUGUGCACCUUGCAAGCUAUUACGGAAAAAAACUAUUAUAUGUUCUGCCUUAUAUAAUAGGCUUACUGGGGGUGAGAUUAGCCAUAUUUACAUUUUUGAAUGCGUCAAGCUGAGCAUGACAUUGAUGUUCCAUGUUCUUUUUUUCCUCUGAUCAUGAUUGAUGUUUCCAUUUUCCUUUUUCCUCUAAUCAUGAAUUAAUUGCAUGUUGAUGUUUUGGUAGUUUUGUUGUUAAUUAAUUAAUUUCAUUCAAUAUUUUUUUUUUUGGGUAUUUUAGAAUGCACAACACCACCGCUAUUGCCUUCUUUAUUGAUGGAGUAAUUAUUUUGGGUGUGGAUUCAAGGAGAGCAAGUAGUCGAAGUUUAAGCAUUAUGAUGACACCACGAAGAUUAAAAUAUUCAAUGGCUUGGUUCUUGCAGCAAAGUGUAGACAUAAGAAGGAUGUCGAUCACAUAAGUAUAGGGAUACCAAACACCUCUAUUGCUCGCAACAGAAUAUUUUGCGUUUAUGAUGGACAAGAAAGUAAAAAAUAUAGCUUCUUUUGGUGGGGAUGGGAUGCAUAGACUCCUCAAAUAUUU